rnacentral:rRNA from 1 species
UACAGAGGUCUCAAGCGUUGUUCGGAUUCAUUGGGCGUAAAGGGUGCGUAGGUGGCGCCGUAAGUCGGAUGUGAAAUUUCGGAGCUUAACUCCGAAACUGCAUUCGAUACUGCGGUGCUUGAGGACUGGAGAGGAGACUGGAAUUACGGUGUAGCAGUGAAUGCGUAGAUAUCGUAAGGAAGACCAGUGGCGAAGGCGGUCUCUGGACAGUUCCUGACACUGAGACACGAAGGCCAGGGAGCAACGG